AAUAAAAAAAAGGGGUGGUCCGGUACAUGCCGGAUCUGAGAUUAUACCCGUUGAACCUGAUCUGGAUAAUGCCAGCGGAGGGAUAAGAUGCUGUUUCAUU
rnacentral:ncRNA from 2 species